rnacentral:lncRNA from 1 species
UUUGAAUUUUGCUUGUUAUCGUUAUUCAAAAGAAACUGUUACAGUAAAUAAUAUGAUUUGUUUGCCAAAUUACUGUUUACAAAAAGGCACAAUUUCAAACUAUUUCAGUCGAAGUGUUUGGGUUAACCCUUGUAGGAGUUUUUUCCCCUUAUGUAUUUGAAAUCAGUAUUUCUCCACAACCAUACAAAUGAUUGACCUGGGGUCUUUUGAUUUGAGAUCACUGACCUCUGACCUUGAAAUUGAGGUCAAGGUCAAAGGUCA